rnacentral:rRNA from 1 species
GGUGCCCCCCUUGUGGUCGGUAUACAGGUGGUGCAUGGCUGUCGUCAGCUCGUGUCSUGAGAUGUUGGGUUAAGUCCCGCAACGAGCGCAACCCUUGUUCUGUGUUGCCAGCAUGCCYUUCGGGGUGAUGGGGACUCACAGGAGACUGCCGGGGUCAACUCGGAGGAAGGUGGGGACGACGUCAAGUCAUCAUGCCCCUUAUGUCUUGGGCUGCACACGUGCUACAAUGGCCGGUACAAUGAGCUGCGAUGCCGCGAGGCGGAGCGAAUCUCAAAAAGCCGGUCUCAGUUCGGAUUGGGGUCUGCAACUCGACCCCAUGAAGUCGGAGUUGCUAGUAAUCGCAGAUCAGCAUUGCUGCGGUGAAUACGUUCCCGGGUCUUGUACACACCG